UACAGAGGGUGCAAGCGUUAAUCGGAAUUACUGGGCGUAAAGGGCGCGUAGGCGGUUGAUUAAGUUAGAUGUGAAAUCCCUGGGCUUAACCUAGGAACUGCAUCUGAUACUGGUCAGCUAGAGUGCGGUAGAGGGUAGUGGAAUUUCCGGUGUAGCGGUGAAAUGCGUAGAUAUCGGAAGGAACACCAGUGGCGAAGGCGGCUACCUGGACUGACACUGACGCUGAGGCGCGAGAGCGUGGGGAGCAAACAGG
rnacentral:rRNA from 1 species